AGUGAACGCUGGCGGUAGGCCUAACACAUGCAAGUCGAACGGCAGCACAGUAAGAGCUUGCUCUUACGGGUGGCGAGUGGCGGACGGGUGAGGAAUACAUCGGAAUCUACUUUUUCGUGGGGGAUAACGUAGGGAAACUUACGCUAAUACCGCAUACGGCCUACGGGUGAAAGCAGGGGAUCUUCGGACCUUGCGCGAUUGGAUGAGCCGAUGUCGGAUUAGCUAGUUGGCGGGGUAAAGGCCCACCAAGGCGACGAUCCGUAGCUGGUCUGAGAGGAUGAUCAGCCACACUGGAACUGAGACACGGUCCAGACUCCUACGGGAGGCAGCAGUGGGGAAUAUUGGACAAUGGGCGCAAGCCUGAUCCAGCCAUACCGCGUGGGUGAAGAAGGCCUUCGGGUUGUAAAGCCCUUUUGUUGGGAAAGAAAAGCAGCAGGUUAAUACCCCGCUGUUCUGACGGUACCCAAAGAAUAAGCACCGGCUAACUUCGUG
rnacentral:rRNA from 1 species